UACGUAGGGUGCGAGCGUUAAUCGGAAUUACUGGGCGUAAAGCGUGCGCAGGCGGUUUUGUGAGUCAGGUGUGAAAUCCCCGGGCUUAACCUGGGAACUGCAUUUGUGACUGCAUAGCUAGAGUACGGUAGAGGGGGAUGGAAUUCCGCGUGUAGCAGUGAAAUGCGUAGAUAUGCGGAGGAACACCGAUGGCGAAGGCAAUCCCCUGGACCUGUACUGACGCUCAUGCACGAAAGCGUGGGGAGCAAACAGG
rnacentral:rRNA from 1 species